ACUCAAAUGAAUAGACGGGGGCCCGCACAAGCGGUGGAGCAUGUGGUUUAAUUCGAUGCAACGCGAAAAACCUUACCUACCCUUGACAUCCUCGGAAUCUUUCAGAGAUGAAGGAGUGCCUUCGGGAACCGAGAGACAGGUGAUGCAUGGCUGUCGUCAGCUCGUGUCGUGAGAUGUUGGGUUAAGUCCCGUAACGAGCGCAACCCUCGUCCUUAGUUGCUAGCAGUUCGGCUGAGCACUCUAGGGAGACUGCCGGUGAUAAACCGGAGGAAGGCGGGGAUGACGUCAAGUCAUCAUGUCCCUUACGGGUAGGGCUACACACGUGCUACAAUGGACAAUACAAAGGGCUGCUAAGCCGCAAGGUGGAGCCAAUCCCAUAAAGUUGUUCAUAGUCCGGAUUGGAGUCUGCAACUCGACUCCAUGAAGUUGGAAUCGCUAGUAAUCGCAAAUCAGCAUGUUGCGGUGAAUACGUUCCCGGGCCUUGCACACACCGCCCGU
rnacentral:rRNA from 1 species